UGAACGUCAUGAUUAGACUCUUCUCCAGAGUCAUUGUCUUCCUCAGCUCCAUGGCUUCUGUUUGGUAAUUUUAUAGGCAUAGAAAUGGUAAUUUCACAAAUACAGAAGGAAAGAGAGAGAAAUGUAAAAGUACAAAGCCAAUUAUGUAAGCAAGAGUGACAGGAAAACCAGAAAAAUAAAGGACCUUAUGUGCUUAUAAAGAAAAAGAAG
rnacentral:lncRNA from 13 species